rnacentral:tRNA from 1 species
UCCCGGGUGGCUCAGUGGCAAAGCAUCUGCCUGCAAUUCAGGAGACCUGGGUUCGAUCCCUGGGUCAGGAA